GAGGGAGCAAGGGAAGGAGGGUGAGGCGUAACAGGGAGACCGGGUGUCGGGAGAACCAGAGGAGAGGAGACUGGAAAGAAGCGGGGAAGUGUGCCUGGGGCAGCUUCCGAAGGGGAACGGCGGGGACAGAUGAGGGGGGCGCGAUUGCAACCAGAGCGCCCGCGAGCUCCCGGAUUUCUUCUCUUUCCUCGCUAUUUCCCGCACACACAGCCCUGCAGCCCUCCCUUCUUCCUUCCUGGCUUGUGAUUAGAACGCAGCCGCAGGCGGAAGUGCAGUGACGCCAUCAGCCGUCGCCUGAGCCGUGGCGCGCGGGUGGCCGAAAGGCGAAAGUGAGAUUUCAAGGGCCGGGUCUGGGGCCCCGCGGGCGCGCAGUGCUGCGGCGUGUGGGGAGUACGGGGAGGCUGGAGAGGAGCCGGCCCCGGGCAGUGUGAGGUGCGGAAGCGCGGUCCAGACACUUUGCUGACGGGAGGCCGGUCCGCCAGAUCCGGGAGGUGGGGCCUCGUUCUGGACUGCUGUACGUAGUUUUAUUCCUGGUCAUUUUUUUCCACCGCCAAAUCGAGAGAUAGAGCUUUGGAUCAUGAGAGAUGGCGUCGUGUUGGGAAAAGAGCCUUCUUUACCUGAGUUUAAGCUCGGCUCAUAGACAUCCUCUACCUGAGUUUACACGUGUGUAAUAUGAAGGCAGUCGAUUAGGAGAUGUCUAAGAUCAUUACUUACACCUCAAGUUUCCAAGGGGAGGAAGACACGGGAAGGAUGCGUGGUCUGUGCCAGACUUUGUAGACGAUUCACUGAAUGACCCUGAUUUAGCUCUUCCGGCCCUCUUCGAUUCAGCUUGGAAGCAAGCAUAAAUAGUGAUUGUUGUCUGUAUACUUCUCUCGGAAGGAAUGCUGUUAUGGGAGUUGUGGGUUCAUUUUUAGGUGUCUGAAGAAGUUUCAGGACUUUUGAAAUGAUAGUGGAGCCCAUUGAACUCAGAAUUAUCCCUUUCUGGUCUAGUAGGAGUAUAGUGGCAUACGGAAAAUGAAGCAAACAUCAAAGACAGAUGUACUGGCACAAGAUUAAAAAUAAGAAACAGAGGCAAAUGCAGGUUAAGGAACCUCACAGUAAGGGAUAAAACUCAUAUUUUAACCUGAUCUGCCUGAUUCUGGAGCCUGCACCAUCAUUCCAUUGUCGUGCUUGCCACAUGGAGAAUGAUAAGGGGAGAGAGUAAGAAAGCAAUGAGAUACACAUGUCUUGACUGCUUCUCUUCAUGCUGAAAUCCUGGGGGAAAGAAGUGCUAAAUCAGUUGAGGACAUGGGAACAUUUAUUCUGGAAGAAAUUUGGGUACAGAGACAGACAAGCACCAAGAGAAGAUGAUGUGAAGAAGCACAGCGAGAACACCAUGUGAAAAUGGAGGACUGGAAUGAAGCAUCUACAAGCCAGGAAAUGUCUGAGGCUACCAGAAGCCAGGAGAGAGGCCUGGAACAGAUCCUGCACUAGAACCUUCAAAGAGAGCAUGGUCCUGCUGACAUGUUGAUUUUGGACUUCUGGCCUCCAGAGCUGUGAGAAUAAAUUUCAG
rnacentral:lncRNA from 1 species